rnacentral:rRNA from 1 species
AUGAACGCUGGCGGCGUGCCUAAUACAUGCCAGUCGAGCGAACAGACGAGGAGCUUGCUCCUCUGACGUUAGCGGCGGACGGGUGAGUAACACGUGGAUAACCUACCUAUAAGACUGGGAUAACUUCGGGAAACCGGAGCUAAUACCGGAUAAUAUAUUGAACCGCAUGGUUCAAUAGUGAAAGACGGUUUUGCUGUCACUUAUAGAUGGAUCCGCGCCGCAUUAGCUAGUUGGUAAGGUAACGGCUUACCAAGGCAACGAUGCGUAGCCGACCUGAGAGGGUGAUCGGCCACACUGGAACUGAGACACGGUCCAGACUCCUACGGGAGGCAGCAGUAGGGAAUCUUCCGCAAUGGGCGAAAGCCUGACGGAGCAACGCCGCGUGAGUGAUGAAGGUCUUCGGAUCGUAAAACUCUGUUAUUAGGGAAGAACAAAUGUGUAAGUAACUAUACACGUCUUGACGGUACCUAAUCAGAAAGCCACGGCUAACUACGUG